UCCAAUGGACCGACUUUAUGGAUGCAAGGAGUAAUGGGGAUGUGGAAGUGAAAAGAGGAACAUGCAGUCAAUGGAACCUGGUACGAAGUGUUAUUGACGAGGAUCUACUGGAGCACUUGAUAGAGCAACACUCUUUCAACUAGUAGUCAGUAGCUCAGAAAAAGGAGAAGAAAGGAGGAUUCUGAGAAGGGGAACAUGUGAGGAGUGUAGUCGGAGUAGUUACAAUCAUUAACGGACAAUUUGAACUGUAGCCAAUGUUU